AUUGGUAGCAAUACCAUGAGAGCGGCGCACGGGUGAGUAACGCGUACACGACCUACCUCUGACAGGGGGAUAGCCCUGGGAAACUGGGAUUAAUACCGCAUAUUAUUCUGAUUAAUAAAGGAUUGGAAUGAAAGUUCAGGCGGUCAGAGAUGGGUGUGCGUCUGAUUAGCUAGUUGGUAGGGUAACGGCCUACCAAGGCGAUGAUCAGUAGGGGGCGUGAGAGCGUGAUCCCCCACACGGGUACUGAGACACGGACCCGACUCCUACGGGAGGCAGCAGUAAGGAAUAUUGGACAAUGGCCGCAAGGCUGAUCCAGCCAUCCAGCGUGCAGGA
rnacentral:rRNA from 1 species